GACGUAGGGCGCGAGCGUUGUCCGGAUUUAUUGGGCGUAAAGAGCUCGUAGGCGGCUUGUCGCGUCGAAUGUGAAAUCUCAGGGCUCAACUCUGACAUUGCAUUCGAUACGGGCAGGCUAGAGUUCGGUAGGGGAGACUGGAAUUCCUGGUGUAGCGGUGAAAUGCGCAGAUAUCAGGAGGAACACCGGUGGCGAAGGCGGGUCUCUAGUACGGUACUGACGCUGAGACGCGAAAGCGUGGGGAGCGAACAGG
rnacentral:rRNA from 1 species